UACGAGAGGCCCAACCGUUAUUCGGAAUUACUGGGCUUAAAGAGUUCGUAGGCGGCAUUGUAAGUCGGGUGUGAAAGCCCUCGGCUCAACCGAGGAAUUGCGCUCUAAACUGCAGUGCUUGAGGAACCUAGAGGUGAGCAGAACAGAUGGUGGAGCGGUGAAAUGCGUUGAUAUCAUCUGGAAUACCGGAGGCGAAGGCGGCUCACUGGGAGUUUUCUGACGCUGAGGAACGAAAGCCAGGGUAGCGAACGGG
rnacentral:rRNA from 1 species